GUUGCAUCUGGGGGGAGUCAGAUUUAGGUUCACUAAGCGACAGUGGCCCCUCCUCGGCAGAUAUGGAGGGGAGCAGCAACAGCCCCCUGCCCAAAACCACCAGCACCUACAGCUUCCCAGACACCAACUCCACCACCACGUCCUAUGAGAGCGCUGAGGAGACCCAGGACGACCUGGAGAACCCGGUGCUGACCUCCCAGCUGACUCAGAGCCAGAGCUUUGAUGGGGCAGGUAGCGCCAUUGAGGGGUUCAGGUUGGGACCGGACUCAGGUUCAUCCAGAAGUGUGAGUAACAUAGAACAUAAUGUGGAGAGGGAGCAGGACAUGGGGAGAGUCUUCCGGUCUCUGAGCAGGAGGAAGAGUAGCUAUUCUGUCUCUCUGUUGAAGAGUUACAGUUCCAAAAUAUCUCUUUCCAGAAGGACGUCCUCCACUAGCUCCACUAUCAAGCCCUGUCCUCCCAUCCACCCUACCUACGUGAAGAUCACCACCAGGCAGCUGACCCAUAGGCUCACCAAGCCAGAGCCCUCGUAGGGCAGGAUUUGGGGGCCACAAGCCCCAGGGAUGGAGAACCCCCAGGCAGAGGUCCUGCAGUAUCGCCGGGCCUUUCAGUCAUUCUGCAGACUGGACCAAGGAUAUGGAAGGCCUCAGAUUGAGGCAUGAGGCCGCCACUGACCUCCAGGAGCGUGGGGGUUCAGAGAGAGGCUUUCCAGGGGCGAGUCUGACCCCAUGCACCAGACAAUGCCUCUCAGGUGUCCAGACCACUACCACAGGACCCUAUCAAGAUGUCUUCUCUGGUCUCGCCCUGUUGGAGCGUCUAUGUCUGCAGGAGGGGGAGCGAACGGAGGACCAGCUAUAUUUCUGGGCUACUUUCGGCCUGCCCUCCCACCUCUGGGUGCCCCAUGAAGGGCAUACCGCAGGCCGCAUCAAGGCCUUGAGGCCCCCUCCACAGCCAGCUCAGGACCCGAGCCCUAGGACCUGAGCUCCAGGACUACCUGACAUGAUGACUCCUUGCUGUCCCCAGUCCACCUGGCC
ensembl:lncRNA